rnacentral:rRNA from 1 species
GCGUAGGGAUGAAGGCUCUGGGCUGUAAACCUCUUUUAUCAAGGAAGAAGAUCUGACGGUACUUGAUGAAUAAGCCACGGCUAAUUCCGUGCCAGCAGCCGCGGUAAUACGGGAGUGGCAAGCGUUAUCCGGAAUUAUUGGGCGUAAAGCGUCCGCAGGCGGUUUUGUAACGUCUGUCGUUAAAGCGUGGAGCUUAACUCCAUUUAGGCGGUGGAAACUACAAGACUAGAGUGUGGUAGGGGCAGAGGGAAUUCCCGGUGUAGCGGUGAAAUGCGUAGAUAUCGGGAAGAACACCAGUGGCGAAGGCGCUCUGCUGGGCCAUAACUGACGCUCAUGGACGAAAACCAGGGUGAGCGAAAGGGAUUAGAUACCCCUGUAGUCCUGGCCGUAAACGAUGAACACUAGGUGUCGGGGGAAUCGACCCCCUCGGUGUCGUAGCCAACGCGUUAAGUGUUCCGCCUGGGGAGUACGCACGCAAGUGUGAAACUCAAAGGAAUUGACGGGGGCCCGCACAAGCGGUGGAGUAUGUGGUUUAAUUCGAUGCAACGCGAAGAACCUUACCAGCGUUUGACAUCCUGCGAAUCUCUUGGAAACGAGAGAGUGCCUUCGGGAGCGCAGUGACAGGUGGUGCUUGGCUGUCGUCCGCUCGUGUCGUGAGAU